rfam:Synechococcus sp. RS9916 scf_1100013018508 genomic scaffold, whole genome shotgun sequence.
UCUAUGCUUCCGCCAGCGGUCCCCUCUUUGGGGCCCUAAAGCUCCAGUGGUGGUAAGGGGUUUCGGCUUCUGAAAACCACUGGCGCCCGGAUGCGGCAAGGCCAUGCCGAGCUGCGACCGGGGCCCCGAUGAACUCCGGUUCGUCGGAGGGGUGGCCCUCCACCUCGAUCCCGUCCCUCGAGGAACGACUCGAUGA